rnacentral:rRNA from 1 species
UAUUGAAUAUAAGGGCCUAUGGAGGAUGCCUUGACAUAAAGAGCCGAUGAAGGACGUGGCGUGACUGCGAUAAGCCCCGGGGAGGUGUCUAGCAACCUUUGAUCCGUGGAUGUCCGAAUGGGGAAACCCGGCGAUGAUUAAACCCGUCGCCAGUCCCGGCAUUUUGUCGGGAUAGGGAACUCGGGGAAGUGAAACAUCUCAGUACCCGAAGGAAAAGAAAACAAGCCGUUUAAUAACGGCGUAUUCCCUAAGUAGCGGCGAGCGAAAAGGGAAAAGUCCAAACCUAUUUUUAAAUAGGGGUUGCAAGGUAAUAACGUUUCGGAGUUAUUCAGUUCUGUUGCAAAGAACUGAAUCUUCCGGAAGGAGUUUAUUAAAUAAAGACUGGUUAAUUGAAUCUUGCUGGAAAGCAGAACCAGAGAGGGUAAUAGUCCCGUAAAUAAAAAUCUCUUUAUACUCCCAGUUAUUAUUCUUAAGUAGCGCGGGACCAGAAUAUCCCGCGUGAAGCCGGCAGUCCUAAUACUGCCAAGACUAAAUACUCUUUAUGAUCGAUAGUGAACAAGUACCGUGAGGGAAAGGUGAAAAGUAGCCCGGUGAGGGCGGUGAAAUAGAACCUGAAACCAUAGGCCUACAAAGACUCGGAGCCCCGCAGAAAUGCGGGGUGACGGGGUGCUUUUUGCAGAACGAGCCAACGAGUGUAUGCGCGUUGCGAGAUUAAUCCGCCUAAGGCGGAGGAAUCGCAGGGAAACCGAGUUUUAACUAAGCGAAUAAGUAGCGCGUAUACGACCCGAAGCCGGAGCGAGCUAACCAUGGCCAGGGUGAACCCUUCUUAACCGAAGGGGGAGGCCCGCACCCACUGGUCGUUCAACGCCAGGGGAUGAGCUGUGGUUAGAAGUGAAAAGCUAAUCGAGCCCGGUAAUAGCUGGUUCUUCCCGAAAUAGCUUUUGGGCUAGCCUUUUGCUUAUGUUUUUAGGGGUAGAGCACUGGAUGAAGCGAGGCGGUUUUCCGUACUCGCUUCAAUCAAACUCCGAAUACUAAAAACUUUGGCAGAAGAGUUAGACUGCGGGGGCAAAGCUCCGUGGUCGAGAGGAAAACAGUCCAGACUGUCGUCUAAGGUCCCUAAAUUAAUCUAAGUGGUGAAGGAAGUGAAGUUUCUCUGACAGCUAGGAGGUUGGCUUAGAAGCAGCCAUCCUUCAAAGAGUGCGUAAUAGCUCACUAGUUCAGAGAUUUUGCGCCGAAAAUUCAACGGGGCUAAAGAUUAAUACCGAAGACACAGAUGUCGCCGCGUCUCNNNNNNNNNNNNNNNNNNNNNNNNNNNNNNNNNNNNNNNNNNNNNNNNNNNNNNNNNNNNNNNAAAUAGUUGAAAAUUGAAAGUUGAAAGUUGAUAAUUCCACCGUGGCGAGCGGCAGCGAGACGCGUGUGGCGUGGUAGGGAAGCGUUCUAUAAGCAGCGAAGCUAAAUCGCGAGGUUUGGUGGAGUUUAUAGAAGUGAGAAUG